UGUUUCUGUGCUCCCUCUUAGUGCUCUGAAAUCUUGGGCUCCUCUCCCUCUUGAUUGCUGGCUGAAAAUCUUGGCUUGGCACUCCCAAGCUGCACACCACAGCUCUGGGACAAUCUCAAGCUUUAUAUCCCUUCCCAUCUUGGAGGAAUCAGAGGAAGGAAAGUUAGCAGUGGUUGUGACAGAGGGUUUUUCACUUGUCUCUUGGAGCUCCACCUCAGAAAGACGCAGAGCUGCUAUCAAUCAGUAUGAUUGGCCUAGGAUGGGGCAGCUGUGCUGUGAGACCAACCCAUGGCAGACAUCCAGCUGAUCACACUGUGUCCACAUAAGGCAAAUGCUGAGCUGUAAUCCAUCAAGCUGUUUCCGGUCAUAGGCACAAAGGGAUGCAAUGCCAACUAACUAACUCACUGUCCUGAAGCAGUUCCCUGAUGCCCUAUAAAUCACCAGAUCUACUCCUUGGAUGAUAAAGCAAUGCAAAUUGCAGAAAUUAGAGGUGAAAUCAAAUGGUUGAAAGGAACCCUGCUUUGAUCACUUUUUGGCUAAAUUGGAGAAUUCAUUAAGUGUUUAGAUCUCAGUUAAUGUGUAGGAAAAAAUGUCUUUCUUUUAGGUUUGCAGAGUAGCUUAGACAUAUAAUGUUUAAAUCUGUGUAUAAUUCUAGCCACAAAAUCUGUGAUCAGAAAAUAUAUUUCCUUUUUCUUCUUUAUUGAUAACAAAAGGAAUGAAGAAAUUAUAGGUCUUUAGAGAUAUCAGUGUCUUUGGAUCAUGUGAUCUGAUGGAAAGAAAGAAAAUCAAUAUUAUCUGAGUGUCAGGGAUAUAGUAAUUGCUUUCACCUAUCUUGUUGUAUUCUCAUGAUAGCUUAUUGGGUGUAACCAACUACAUGUUUGUGUUUCCUCACAAACGUUAAUCCCCAUUAUGAUGAUAUUAGAAAGUGGGACUUUUAAGAGGUAAUUAGGUAAUAAAGGUGGAGCCUUCAUAAGUGAAAUUAGUGCCAUUAUAAGAAGGACCACAGAGAGCUCUCUUAUUCUCUUUCUGCCAUGUGAGGAUGCCAACAGAGAUAGUAGCUUCUAAGAUGGAAGAAGAAUCUUACCAGAAUUGAGCCUGGUCUUGGACUUCCAGCCUCCAGAACUGUGAUAAAUAUUAGGCAUAGAGAAAAGGCCAUAUGAGUACACAGCCAGAAGGUGUCUGCCUACAAGACAAAGAGGGAAAACUUACCUGAAACCAACCCUGAUGGAUAUUGGAUUUCUAAGCUCCAGAACUGUGAGAAAAUUAAUUUUAUGUGCUUUAAGACACUCAAUUUGUGGUAUUCUGUUAUGGCAGCCUAUGCUAGUCAAUUUGCAUUACCAUAAAGCAACACCUGAGAGUGGGUAAAUUAUAAAGAAAAGAAGUUGAAUCGGCUCAUGGUUCUGCAGGCAGUACAGAAGCAUAGUGCUGGCAAUUGCCCCUGGCAAGGGGCUCAGGAAGCUUACAAACAUGGCAGAAGGCAAAGGGAAGCCAACAUAUCACACGUAAGCUCAGGAAGCUUACAAACAUGGCAGAAGGCAAAGGGAAGCCAACAUAUCACGUGGCGAGAAAGACAGAGAAGCGGUAGGUCCCAGACUCUUUUAAACAACAAGACCUCAUGUGAACUGAGGGGAAACUCACUUUCACCAAGGAGAUGGUGCUAAACCACUAAUGAGGGAUCUGUCCCAUGAGCCAAUCACCUCCCACCAAGACCUACCUCCAAUUUUGGAAAUUAUAUUUCAACAUGAGAUUUGGAGGGGACAAACAUCCAAACCAUAUCCCAGCCUGAGCAGACUAACAGAGUCUCUGAAUAAAUCUAUGAAAAUGACUAGAGUAUUAUUUUGUUGAGUGAUUUCUUCUUGUAUUAGGAUUGGUCUCCUUGAAAAUAUUUUUCUCAUAUCUGUUAUAAUAAAAUACUGAGAAUCAUACUAAUUCUACUCUAAACUUAGAUAUUUAAGAGGGUUGGAUUUGACUGAUUGCUCUGAUGUUGCUAACAUAGUCAAAGACUUUUCAAAACUAAAGUGUAAUAUUAUGUCAUGCAACCUUGAGAAAAUUACAAUGGACAAAGCAGAACUAUAAUUCACAAUUCAUCUCCCAAACAAAUUGUGACACCCCUUCUUUCCAAUCCACUGAAAUAUGCCUAAAAUGAGAAAAAAGGGAAAUCUUAAAAACAACAACAACAACAACAAAGAAAAAACAGAAAACGGCAACAUUCAGGCAAAAAAGAAUGUGAGGACUAUGAUGCUGGCAUGCUAAACUUAAUUAAUAAUAAAUGAGAGAGUUUGGAAUGAU
rnacentral:lncRNA from 1 species